GGGCCGGUAGCUCAGCCAGGUAGAGCGGCGGUGGAGCGUAGAACCCGGCGUUCCGCCGAGGCUUUUAACCCGUAGGUCGUGGGUUCGAAUCCCACCCGGCCCG
rnacentral:tRNA from 1 species